ACAGCUCAGGGGUAGAACAUCUGCUUUCCAUGCAGAAGGUCCUGGGUUCAAAUCCCUGGCAUCUGUG